AAGGUUGUUGCAUGCCAGGGAGAUGGAGAUUGAAGAAAUUGACUGAUAGUAAGUGAUUUUUCUAACAAUCUUGAUUGUGUUUAUGUUUCUUAUUCUAAGAGGGUAUAAGUAGUUGGUUAAUCUUGUUUCUUGUACAAUAUAUAUAUAUUGUAGGUAACUAGUGGAACUUCAUUUUUAGAAUUUCUGUCAAUGUUUUUCCAUUCCAUCAGUAUGUUUGGGUUUCUUACGACUAUUAAAGUUUGAUUUGAGUAUACUUUUGUUUUUCCUUUUGUCGCUUUGUUUUGUGAGGGAAGUGAAAAAGACAUAAAAGUAUACUCAAAUCAAACUUUAAUAGUCGUAAGAAACCCAAACAUACUGAUGGAAUGGAAAAACAUUGACAGAAAUUCUAAAAAUGAAGCUCCACUAGUUACCUACAAUAUAUAUAUUGUACAUAAAACAAGAUUAACCAAUUACCUAUGCCCUCUUAGAAUAAGAAAUAUAAACACAAUCAUGAUUGUUAGAAAAAUCACUUACUAUCAGUCAAUUUCUUCUUGAGCUCUUCAAUCUCCAUCUCCGUGGCAUGCAACAACCUUUUGGUUUCAUUCAGCUUAUCGACCGCCUCUUGCAGAUUCUCUUUGAGUGGAGGGAUUAGAAGAGCAAGUUCUGCCAUAGUAUGCUCCUUAGUCCUAAUGGUAUUCUCCUCCUCCACCAUUUACGUUUCCAUGUCAUCCAGUAUUGCUUUGAUGGAAUUUAUUUUUUCACGGAAGAUGGACAAGGCCAUUUCUGCUAUCUCACAAUGGGAGGAAAUCAAGAUGAUUGCAGCUUUGUUUUGUGAGGGAAGUGAAAAAGCCAGAAAAGUAUACUCAAAUCAAACUUUAAUAGUCGUAAGAAACCCAAACAUACUGAUGGAAUGGAAAAACAUUGACAGAAAUUCUAAAAAUGAAGCUUCUCUGCUCCACUAGUUACCUACAAUAUAAAGAACAAGAAACCCUCUUAGAAUAAGAAACAUAAACACAAUCAAGAUUGUUAGAAAAAUCACUUACUAUCAGUCAAUUUUCUUCAAUCUCCAUCUCCGUGGCAUGCAACAACCUUUUGGUUUCAUUCUGAGUAAAAAAGAUUAAGGAGGUAUUUUCCGGUGGUAUCGAAUCUCUGGUUAGACUAGCUACUGAGUUCAGUGGAAAUUCUGAAACAACACUCAGUAAUAUAAAUUCUGAAGCUGUCAAGCAUUCUUCUGCCCUUGCUGAACUUAUAAAAGAAGCUUCAGUCAAGGUCGGUGACAUACUUGAUGAUUUGCAAAGUAACCUUAAUGAUCAGGAGCAAAGCAUAGCUGCAUUUUGGCAACAGCAGCAUGAGAGCCAGUUGAGAGCAUAUGAGACAACCCAAUCUGCAUCUAGUGUUACAGUGAAUUUCUUCAUCACAAAGUGUCAGACAUGCAUGGUUUCCUGUCCUCCACAGAAGAUGAAUACACACGUUUCUUGGAAAAAACAAAGAAGCAUUACAUGGGCAAGAUGGUUUGACAGCAAUACUCCAAAACUGGACAACCAAGGCAAGGACAGGGGAUGAAGGGUGGAAGCAAGUCCAAGAAUCUCUGAGCAGUCUGCAGAAAAUGCAUAUAGAAUCCGUAGAUUCCACAAUCAACUAAGUUCAUGUCACUCCGCCACUGUGAUGCCCUUGAAACCAACCAAGCAAGCAAUCAACACUCAAUUGUCAUCCUUGGCCUCUUCAACAGUGGAAGAAAUAGAUAUUGCACAAAGUAGUUCUCUCCCAUCCGUUGAAUGUAAGCUAUUUGUGAUCUAAGAAUAUUUCUCCUUCCACCCCGGAAGACUCGCACAAUUCCCAUUUUUGGGUUGCCUGAUAUUAACUGCAAUGUUCUAUUUUUGGCAAGAUUUCAAGUUCAAAUUACCUAUUAGCCC